GGCCCCAUGGUCAAGAGGUUAAGACACUGCCCUUUCAAGGCGGCGACACGGGUUCGAGUCCCGUUGGGGCUACCA
rnacentral:tRNA from 1 species